rnacentral:lncRNA from 1 species
AUGCAGAACACCAACCGCAGGCUUUCACCGCAAACAAAAAAGAAAAUAAUAGCUAAGCUGAGAGAUGAAGCUGACUUUCAAUUUCAGCUGUCAUUUUUGCAAUUUCUGUCAACAUCCUUACUGCAACAUAAGCAACACAAGCAACCAGACAGAAGAUCUCUAGUUAUUACCUGCAGCGCACAGAUUCCUGUGUUGCAAGGGAUUGGAUUCAAUGGUCCUCCUGUUCCUUGCCAACUCUCCAGUUUCUACAAUUCUGCAAAUUCCCUACAUGGCUGCUGCCAUCAUUGUGUGUCUAACUGCAUGGACCCAAACCAGAAAGGUCCAGAGGUCUGUUGUUGUUGUUUUGCAAAGUUGCUAUUUGGAACCAUGAAGAAUAGGGGACUUAAAGGUUGUGGACAUGUGUGCAUGUCAACCUAUGAAUCCUGGGGUCCAAAUAGGUUUCUUUCCAUCCAGUGUCCUACAUUUUCUAGGGCAUUUCCUUCUUUAUCCCAUCCCCAACACCAUAGGAGCAUUGUCUCUAUCUAAAAAAUGCAACACUUUAUAUUUUAAAUUAAACUGGCCAUAAAACAUACCUCUUAAAUAAAUAGACUUAUGCUUUUAGAUAGUUUAUAAUGACUACCCAAGCAACUUUUUAUACACAGCAAUAACGGCACACAGAUACCUUCAGUUUUCCUACCCAAUAUGCUUCAAAUUAUAAUGUAUGUUAAGCCAACAAUAAAACAGACCUCUCAAAUAAAUAUAAUUAUGUUUUUAAAUAGUUAAAAAUGAUUACCAAAAGAACUUUUUAUAAACAGCAAUAAAUGUGCACAGAUCUCCUCAUUUUUCCUACCUAUAAAUCAGUUACCCAUUUACCAGUGUUCAUGUUAUGGUUGGAUACAGACUAUACUUUAUAAGCAACAAAAAGGAAUUAGUAAUGAAUUCUAUCGUAGGUUGCACUGCGCACAGAGCUCAAAUCCCAAGCAGUGUUGUGAAAAUGGAAAGAGCACAAUCAAUACCUGUGUUCUAGAAAAACUCCAUAGCACUUUCCCCAUCACGCUAGGCUCCUCCCGGUGUCAUCUGGCUCAAACUCUUUGAGUUCCUCCUACUCCUCCUUGGGAGCAGACCAUCUCUUUGAAGAAAGCCCCAUGGGAUUCAUGACAGUUUUGGAACACAAUCUCACAUCAUUCCUGACCAUUGGCCAUGCUGUAAGAAGCUCUUGGGAGCUGUCAACCAAAACCUUGAAGGGCACUAGAUUGGGGAAGGUUGUUGCUUCUGUUGUUUAGUUGUUUAGUCGUGUCCGACUCUUCGUGACCCCAUGGACCAGAGCACGCCAGGCACUCCUGUCUUCCACUGCCUCCCGCAGUUUGGUUAAACUCAUGCUGGUAGCUUCGAGAACACUAUCCAACCAUCUCGUCCUCUGCCGUCCCCUUCUCCUUGUGCCCUCCAUCUCUCCCAACAUCAGGGUCUUUUCCAGGGAGUCUUUUCUUCUCAUGAGGUGGCCAAAGUAUUGGAGCCUCAGCUUCAUGAUCUGUCCUUCCAGUGAGCACUCAGGGCUGAUUGGGGAAGGUUGCUAAAUGUAUAUAAUGAAAAUUCAAAGUUAGUACACUUUGAAUAUAACUAUUAGAAAUUGCGCAUCCAAAUAGCCAAAUAAUAAGCAGUUAAAAAGAACUGCAAUGGACGCUUACUGACUCCCCCACCCCAAAUCUCCCUUUGCACUUUGGUGGUCUCUGAGCUCCACCAAUUCCCUGGCAGGCUUCUUGCUCCUAAUGUAUGUUUUGAAAUACUUUAGCUGGUCACUCCUCAGAUUCUUGGCCCGCCUGCUGUUGUAACAUGCCAGAAUAUAUGUUCCCAUCGUUGUUUUCCCUCCAUCAUUUGGAUAGCUCUUUAC